AGUGAACGCUGGCGGUAGGCCUAACACAUGCAAGUCGAACGGCAGCACAGUAAGAGCUUGCUCCUACGGGUGGCGAGUGGCGGACGGGUGAGGAAUACAUCGGAAUCUACUUUUUCGUGGGGGAUAACGUAGGGAAACUUACGCUAAUACCGCAUACGACCUACGGGUGAAAGCAGGGGAUCUUCGGACCUUGCGCGAUUGAAUGAGCCGAUGUCGGAUUAGCUAGUUGGCGGGGUAAAGGCCCACCAAGGCCACGAUCCGUAGCUGGUCUGAGAGGAUGAUCAGCCACACUGGAACAGAGACACGGUCCAGACUCCUACGGGAGGCAGCAGUGGUGAAUAUUGGACAAUGGGCGCAAGCCUGAUCCAGCCAUACCGCGUGGGUGAAGAAGGCCUUCGGGUUGUAAAGCCCUUUUGUUGAGAAAGAAAAGCAGCAGGUUAAUACCCCGCUGUUCUGACGGUACCCAAAGAAUAAGCACCGGCUAACUUCGUG
rnacentral:rRNA from 1 species